UAAUGAAGGAAGCAUGGUAAUGUGCACGGAGAUUGAGCAACUUUUAGGUCGUCAUGUCUGCUCCCUCUGAUUUUUUCUGAUUUGGGGGCCUGGAUUAGACCUACACUUCCUUUUUUAUUAUUUGUUUAAAAUAAUUGGUUGAAUUUUAACAAAAUUGAAUAUAAUAAUAUAAGAACCUGAUGUAUAAAAGCAGGGAUCGAUUGCCUUGUGAAUCGGUCUCCCGUAAACGUCAGGAAUAUAGAGUGGGCAUCGUUAUUGGGUGAACCUCUUGAUUUUUUUCAUGACGGACAAGGUUCAGUAAACGAAGCUAUAUUU
rnacentral:lncRNA from 1 species